rnacentral:misc_RNA from 1 species
CACCCCGUUCGGUCCGUCCCCGUCGAGUCCGUUCAGAUCCUCGCAAUGGGAGCGGCGCUUCUCUCCGAGCUCCUCACGGAGAUCCUGAUCCCGGUGGCGGCGGUCAUCGGGAUCGCCUUCUCGCUCCUGCAGUAUGUGCUGGUCUCAAAGGUGAAGGUCUCGCCGGAUCACAACGCGCCGGCGAGCAACAACAGCAAGAACGGGUACGGCGACUACCUGAUCGAGGAGGAGGAGGGGAUGAACGAUCACAACGUCGUCGCGAAGUGCGCUGAGAUCCAGACCGCCAUUUCCGAAGGAGCAACAUCUUUCCUUUAUACUGAAUAUAAGUACGUCGGAGGCUUUAUGAUUAUCUUUGCGAUUCUGGUGUUCGUCUUCCUUGGUUCUGUCGAGUCCUUCAGCACAAAGGAACAGCCUUGUACCUACAGCAAGGACAAGCUGUGCAAACCUGCCCUUGCUAAUGCCGGCUUUAGUACAAUAUCUUUUUUGCUCGGUGCAAUUACCUCCUUGGUCUCUGGUUUUCUUGGAAUGAAAAUUGCCACUUAUGCAAAUGCCAGAACAACUUUAGAAGCAAGGAAGGGUGUCGGGAAGGCUUUUAUUACCGCAUUCAGGUCCGGUGCUGUGAUGGGGUUUCUUCUUGCUGCUAAUGGGCUUUUGGUGCUUUAUAUCACAAUCAAUCUAUUCAAGGUGUACUAUGGUGAUGAUUGGGAGGGCCUUUUUGAAGCUAUUACAGGUUAUGGUUUGGGUGGAUCUUCCAUGGCCCUCUUUGGGAGAGUGGGUGGUGGUAUCUACACAAAAGCUGCGGAUGUUGGUGCCGACCUUGUUGGUAAAGUUGAG